UUAAGGCAUGCUCAAUGAUAAUUUAAUAGCUGCGGUUCCGUGACCGUACUAAGGUAGCAUAAUCAAUUGGCUUUUAAUUGGGGUCUGGAAUGAAAGGAUUCAUGGAGAAAAGCUGUCUCAUAUAUUUUUCUAUUAAAUUUACUUUAUAAGUGCAAAAGCUUAUUUUAUGAAAAAAGACGAGAAGACCCUUGGAAUUUUGUUUUUGUUGGGGCAACAUAGAAUGUAAUUAAUAUUCUAAUUUAAUUAUUUAGAGUCAAGUAUUACUUUGAUUUAAUAAAUUACCCAAGGGAUAACAGCAUAAUUUUAUUAAAAGUUUGUGACCUCGAUGUUGGACUAGGAAAACUAGUAAUAAGCCAUUAUUAGUUUUGGUUCUGUUCGAACUAUAAAUCCU
rnacentral:rRNA from 1 species